rnacentral:misc_RNA from 1 species
UACGGAGGGUGCAAGCGUUAGCCGGAAUCUCUGGGUUUAAAGGGUCCGUAGGCGGGUCAAUAAGUCAGUGGUGAAUGUAUGCAGCUUAACUGUAGAAUUGCCAUUGAUACUGUUGACCUUGAGUAAUUAUGAAGUGGUUAGAAUAUGUAGUGUAGCGGUGAAAUGCAUAGAUAUUACAUAGAAUACCGAUUGCGAAGGCAGAUCACUAAUAAUAUACUGACGCUGAUGGACGAAAGCGUAGGUAGCGAACAGG